rnacentral:rRNA from 1 species
UACGUAGGGUGCAAGCGUUGUCCGGAAUUAUUGGGCGUAAAGAGCUCGUAGGCGGUCUGUCGCGUCUGCUGUGAAAACUCAGGGCUUAACCCUGAGCUUGCAGUGGGUACGGGCAGACUAGAGUGCGGUAGGGGAGACUGGAAUUCCUGGUGUAGCGGUGAAAUGCGCAGAUAUCAGGAGGAACACCGGUGGCGAAGGCGGGGUCUCUGGGCCGUAACUGACGCUGGAGGAGCGGAAAAGCAUGGGGAGCGAACAGG